rnacentral:rRNA from 1 species
GACGUAGGGCGCGAGCGUUGUCCGGAUUUAUUGGGCGUAAAGAGCUCGUAGGCGGCCUGUUGCGUCGACUGUGAAAACCCGCAGCUCAACUGCGGGACUGCAGUCGAUACGGGCAGGCUAGAGCUCGGUAGGGGAGACUGGAAUUCCUGGUGUAGCGGUGAAAUGCGCAGAUAUCAGGAGGAACACCGGUGGCGAAGGCGGGUCUCUGGGCCGAUACUGACGCUGAGGAGCGAAAGCGUGGGGAGCGAACAGG